UACGUAGGGCGCAAGCGUUGUCCGGAAUUAUUGGGCGUAAAGAGCUCGUAGGCGGCUUGUCGCGUCGGUUGUGAAAGCCCGGGGCUCAACUCCGGGUCUGCAGUCGAUACGGGCAGGCUAGAGUUCGGUAGGGGAGAUCGGAAUUCCUGGUGUAGCGGUGAAAUGCGCAGAUAUCAGGAGGAACACCGGUGGCGAAGGCGGCUACCUGGCCCACUCUUGACGCUGAGGCGCGAAAGCUAGGGGAGCAAACGGG
rnacentral:rRNA from 1 species